UGUGUUCAGGCUGACUGGAUGCCGUGGAGAGUUCCUGGAAAGUUUGGAGGAGGUCAGCGUGCAUCCGUUGUGCCUUUGCUGUUUGCAAGCCCAGAGUGAAGCACUAGGAAUACCAAGACAAGUAACAGAAGAUUCCUGCUGGGUGGAGAUGACAGCUGAGUGGGAGAGACGGACUAAAGCUAGAGUUUCCAUGCACCAUGAUGAGUGCUAAGAUAAGACUCCUGGCUGCUAAGAAGAGAUAAAAGAAGGGUGCUUACUCAGAGCUGGCGUCCAGGGAAAGCUUCCCAAAGAGAUAACAACUGAGCUAAGUAUUAAAAGUUGAGAGAGAAUCAUUUAGAUGAAAAUAGAAACUAAUGAAAGAAAAAAAGGGCAGCUUGAGAAAUGUCACAGACGUGAAGCAGCGUGGGGAUGUGGACGGAAAAACUCCCCCAAAUGAGUUGUUGGAGGGAAAUAUUUCAGUCAUGGAGCGGUGGGAAGAGAGGCUGAAGAAGCAAGAGUCAGGUGGGGAGGGACUUUGACUCUGCCCUUGGAUCGAUGCUGGAGGAAUGCUGAAUCCCACAUUCCUUGCUUCCUUUCUUAGCCACACUCUGUCCUUAGACACCAGCACCAGUCUAGUCCAAGCUAACACCGCUUCCACCUGGAUCAUAUCAGUCGCUCCACAUACAGCCCUGCAGCACUUCCCUUUGCUUUCAUUCCUGUGCUGCUGGUAGACCCUCUGCACAGAGGCUGAGCAUUUCCUCUAAGACACAGGAUAAGUAGUGGCAUUCCCCAUUGCUCCAGCCUCCAGUGACUUCAUCACGUUUAGAAUAAUUACCAGGGCCUGAAAGGUAAGGCCUUACAUGAAUUGGCCCUGUACUUAUCUUUCCCUAUUCUGAUUAAUGCUGUUCCCUCAUUUUUAUGCUAAGACAGAACUCUUUUAUUUUUUGCCAGAACGUAUUCCCCAUCUCAUCAGGACCAUGGACGUAUGUGUAUAUAUCAUUUCCCUGGGUUAAAAUUGCCAAGGCAUUCAUGUGUCCCUUGUGAGGUGCAUAAGCAUUGUCUUGCUAUGGAUGAGAAUGACAACAAUGAGUUGGAUGUGUUCUUGGCACCAGAUAGAAGUCCGAUAAUGGUUUUAAUGAUAGUUUCUACAGCAAUUGGCCUUACCCUGGGGGCUUCCCAUCUCUCUAAUGACUGGGGCUAUGUCUGCUUAGUUUAUAAGAUCUGGCAAAAUUACAGUGUGAACAAGUAAUACCAUGGGCUGUUGUACAAAUUAUAGCAGGUCUGUCUCUUGUAUAACCCUGUGGAACUUAUCUGAGCCCAGUGCCUCUAGAGGCUUCAUGAAUACUGACUUCAAAGGAAAUGCUACACUAUUAUGAAGACCACACACCGGGUACCUAGGAAAACAAGAAUGGAUCCACAGUGUUUAACUUGUACAACUAUCUGAACUGACUGAAAUUUUUAAGAAAGUAUUGGAUCAGUUGAUAUUGGCAUUUGGCAGAACAUGACAAUUUUGUUCUUAAUAUGGUUUGGGAAAGUUCUUUUUAGCAUAGGAAAAUUUAUUAUCUUAGUCCAGGAAAGAAUUAUAGGGGCCUCAAAUCUAUAAACUCUGAAACCAAGAGAGAUUAUGAAAUUAUUUUGGAUGAUUGGGACAAAGGUCUUUCCAAAGAGAAGGUUUACUACUUUAAAAUACUACUAACAUAGCCUUUCCAGGCAAUGACCUAGAAAUCUGACAAUGUGAUAAUGAAUUCUCAAACAAAUAAAACAAACAAAUAAAAAGUCACAUUGGAAUGUCU
rnacentral:lncRNA from 1 species